rnacentral:rRNA from 1 species
UUUGAAAUCUGGCUCCUUCGGGGUCCGAGUUGUAAUUUGUAGAGGGUGUUUCGGGUGCGAUGCCGGUCUAAGUUCCUUGGAACAGGACGUCGUAGAGGGUGAGAAUCCCGUAUGCGACCGGCGAUCAAGCCCGUGCGAAGCCCCUUCGACGAGUCGAGUUGUUUGGGAAUGCAGCUCAAAAUGGGUGGUAAAUUUCAUCUAAAGCUAAAUACUGGCCAGAGACCGAUAGCGGACAAGUAGAGUGAUCGAAAGAUGAAAAGCACUUUGGAAAGAGAGUCAAACAGUACGUGAAAUUGUUGAAAGGGAAGCGCUUGCAAUCAGACCGGUCCGGAGGCGAUCAGCCGCUGCUCGUCAGCGGUGCACUCGCCUGCGAUCCGGCCAGCAUCGGUUUGGGCGGCGGGAUAAAAGUCCCGGGAAUGUAGCUUCCUCCGGGGAGUCUUAUAGCCCGGGUCGCAAUGCCGCCCGCCCGGACCGAGGACCGCGCUUCGGCUAGGAUGCUGGCGUAAUGGUUGCAAGCGACCCGUCUUGAAACACGGACCAAGGAGUCUAACAUCUAUGCGAGUGUUUGGGUGUCAAACCCAGGCGCGGAAUGAAAGUGAACGGAGGUGGGAACCCGUCAGACGGCGCACCAUCGACCGAUCCAGAUGUCUUCGGAUGGAUUUGAGUAUGAGCAUAGCUGUUGGGACCCGAAAGAUGGUGAACUAUGCCCGGAUAGGGUGAAGCCAGAGGAAACUCUGGUGGAGGCUCGCAGCGGUUCUGACGUGCAAAUCGAUCGUCAAAUCUAGGCAUAGGGGCGAAAGACCAAUCGAACCAUCUAGUAGCUGGUUCCUGUCGAAGUUUCCCUCAGGAUAGCAGUAACGUUUUCAGUUUUAUGAGGUAAAGCGAAUGAUUAGAGGCCUUGGGGCUGAAACAGCCUUAACCUAUUCUCAAACUUUAAAUAUGUAAGAAGUCCUUGUUACUUAGUUGAACGUGGACAUUUGAAUGCACCGUUACUAGUGGGCCAUUUUUGGUAAGCAGAACUGGCGAUGCGGGAUGAACCGAACGCGAGGUUAAGGUGCCGGAAUGCACGCUCAUCAGACACCACAAAAAGUGUCAAUUCAUCCAGACAGCCGGACGGUGGCCAUGGAAGUCGGAAUCCGCUAAGGAGUGUGUAACAACUCACCGGCCGAAUGAAUUGGCCUUGAAAAUGGAUGGCGCUCAAGCGUGCUACCCAUACCUCG